rnacentral:tRNA from 1 species
UGGGGCAUAGCUCAGUGGUAAAGCACUUAACUAAUAAUGUGCAAGGCCCUGGGUUCAAUCCCCAGUCCCGCAA